UACGAAGGGGGCUAGCGUUGUUCGGAAUUACUGGGCGUAAAGGGCGCGUAGGCGGUCCCUCAAGUCAGGCGUGAAAGCCCCGGGCUCAACCUGGGAACCGCGCUUGAGACUGAUGGGCUAGAGUUCGGGAGAGGAUGGUGGAAUUCCCAGUGUAGAGGUGAAAUUCGUAGAUAUUGGGAGGAACACCGGUGGCGAAGGCGGCUACCUGGACCGAUACUGACGCUGAGACGCGAAAGCGUGGGGAGCAAACAGG
rnacentral:rRNA from 1 species